UUCGCGCAAGGGGGUGCACACGACGAACACUCGCUGAGCAUGUCUGACUGGUGCUGUCGGUAGAGCAAGUAUGGGUGGGACCAAAAAGAUGGUGAAACAUGCCUGAGCACGGUGAAGCCAGAGAAAACUCGGGUGGAGGCUCGUAGCGAUUCCUCAGUCACAUCCAUUGUCAAAUCAAAUAUAUAUAAGAAAGACUAAUAGAGGCGUUUAGUAGCCUGUUCCUGCCGAAGUUUCCCUCAGGAUAGCAGACCCGUCCACAUAGAAAAUACACCAGACCGAAUGCCAGGAGGCCUUGGGGGGGACGCGACCUUAACCAAGUGUCAAACUUUAAACAAUUACGAGCGGUCUUUAUCUCUCUUUGCAAAGUGCUUUUCAUGAGAGUCCUCACUGUACCAUUUUUGGUAAGCAGAACUGGCGAUGCGGGAUGAUAGAUGGAAUUUGGCACCCAGCCGGAAUGCACUCCCAUCCAACUCCACUAAAGGAGAUUGCUUCUCAAGGCAUCGGGCCUGCGUCCCAUGAAGUGGGUUUUCGCUAUGGAGGACGUUACAUUUCAGGAGACGAAUGCACUAUCCGUCGCGGAUAACACUUCUCCAGCGUGCUACUCAUACCUCCAGUCCGCGUUGAAGUGAAGCGCGGACGAGUAGGCAGGCCGGAGCACUAAAAGAGCAUCCCGUAUUU
rnacentral:rRNA from 1 species